rnacentral:rRNA from 1 species
GAUGAACGCUAGCUACAGGCUUAACACAUGCAAGUCGAGGGGAAACGACAUCGAAAGCUUGCUUUUGAUGGGCGUCGACCGGCGCACGGGUGAGUAACGCGUAUCCAACCUGCCCACCACUUGGGGAUAACCUUGCGAAAGUAAGACUAAUACCCGAUGAUAUCCCUAGAAGACAUCUGAAAGGGAUUAAAGAUUUAUCGGUGAUGGAUGGGGAUGCGUCUGAUUAGCUUGUUGGCGGGGUAACGGCCCACCAAGGCAACGAUCAGUAGGGGUUCUGAGAGGAAGGUCCCCCCACAUUGGAACUGAGAUACGGUCCAAACUCCUACGGGAGGCAGCAGUGAGGAAUAUUGGUCAAUGGGCGAGAGCCUGAACCAGCCAAGUAGCGUGCAGGACGACGGCCCUAUGGGUCGUAAACUGCUUUUAUAAGGGAAUAAAGUGGGUCUCGUGAGACUUUUUGCAUGUACCUUAUGAAUAAGGACCGGCUAAUUCCGUG